CACACUCACACAUAGGUAGGGGGGUACUGUCAAUAAUUGUCGCUACCAAGAAAGUGGUGGUUACCAAUACGAGCUUUAUACGAAAAGGGAAAGUAAAACACGAAAAGUACCGCGUAAACAAGCUCGGGUUCCACUGUCCAAAUUGACCGUUGGUUUUAUCCAGAUUACCCGGAUGAAUACCAAUCAGAAACAACAAACGACACUAACGACAGUUUACACUUUGA